GGAUUAGAUACCCUGGUAGUCCACGCCGUAAACGAUCAUCACUCGCUGUUGGCGAUACACUGUCAGCGGCCAAGCGAAAGUAUUAAGUGAUGCACCUGGGGAGUACGCCGGCAACGGUGAAACUCAAAGGAAUUGACGGGGGCCCGCACAAGCGGUGGAGCAUGUGGUUUAAUUCGAUGAUACGCGAGGAACCUUACCAGGGCUUAAAUGUAGUAUGACCGGUCUGGAAACAGACCUUCCCUUCGGGGCAAAUUACAAGGUGCUGCAUGGUUGGCGUCAGCUCGUGCUG
rnacentral:rRNA from 1 species